rnacentral:lncRNA from 1 species
CCCUAACCUUGCCCUUCUGCCCUUUACGGAUCCUCCUGGAAUGGCCCACAGGCAUCUACAUCUGCUGUUCCCCAAUCCCACCAGCAAAGGGCACGCGAGAUGAAACAGUUCUGUCCUGGGAUGUACCACUGAGGAGUAGCAGUAAGAUCACCCACUCUGAAAGGUACCAUUGGGAGAGGGCGUGUGACAACAGAGAGAGGGUCCCCUUACACCGGGUCAGGCAUGGACCACAGUUCCCUGCGGUGGCACUCACGGCGCCACUGGGUCCAUCCCCAUUCGCUCCUCUUCGUCUUCCCACUGCUUUUGAAUCCGAAUGGACACAGGGAGAAAUAUGAGUGGGCAAGUGGCAUCAAAAUUGGGACCUACAAAUCAAGAUUGCGCCCAGGUGGAUGAACCUGUGGUUCCCAGUGUUGAGCAACCUCAACAAGAGGAACCGCCAGCUGAGAUUCAGGAUAUCACACCUAGAAAGGAGGAAGUACAUGGAGAGGAUCCAGUGAAUCGUGAUGAAGAAGAGGAGAAGGAUCCCUUUGAAG